GUUUGAUCCUGGCUCAGAAUCAACGCUGGCGGCGUGCCUAACACAUGCAAGUCGCACGAGAAAGGGUAGCAAUACCUGAGUAAAGUGGCGCACGGGUGAGUAACACGUGACUAAUCUACCCUCGAGUGGGGAAUAACUGAGAGAAAUCUUAGCUAAUACCGCAUAACACUUACGAGUCAAAGCAGCAAUGCGCUUGGGGAGGAGGUCGCGGCCGAUUAGCUAGUUGGCGGGGUAAUGGCCCACCAAGGCGAUGAUCGGUAUCCGGCCUGAGAGGGCGCACGGACACACUGGAACUGAAACACGGUCCAGACUCCUACGGGAGGCAGCAGUGGGGAAUUUUGCGCAAUGGGGGAAACCCUGACGCAGCAACGCCGCGUGGAGGAUGAAAUAUCUUGGUAUGUAAA
rnacentral:rRNA from 1 species